CAGCACCUCAAGUGGUCAGGAUGAUUAUUGGGCCUAAAGCAUCCGUAGCCGGCUCUGUAAGUUUUCGGUUAAAUCUGUAUGCUCAACAUACAGGCUGCCGGGAAUACUGCAGAGCUAGGGAGUGGGAGAGGUAGACGGUACUCGGUAGGAAGGGGUAAAAUCCUUUGAUCUAUUGAUGACCACCUGUGGCGAAGGCGGUCUACCAGAACACGUCCGACGGUGAGGGAUGAAAGCCAGGGGAGCAAACCGGAUUAGAUACCCGCGUAGUCC
rnacentral:rRNA from 1 species